rnacentral:tRNA from 1 species
GGGCCUGUAGCUCAGCUGGGAGAGCGCUUGCAUGGCAUGCAAGAGGUCCAGGGUUCGAUUCCCUGCAGGUCCACCC